rnacentral:rRNA from 1 species
CAUUACAGUGAUAUCUUUCUUUCCUUAGCCAAAGAGCUGCCUGCGCUUGACUGCGCGGCGGUCUCGAGGCUUUGGGACGGAGGGGGAUUAAUUUCUCUCUUUACACACCUUUGCUUUUGUUUUUACAGGCACUUUUGCUUUGGUCAGCUUUCUGUAAAAGGACGAGCUGGCCAGAGACCAACCAAACUCAGAUUAGUUUCUGUUUUGUCAUUUUUAAUACAGUCAAACCUAAGAAAUCUCAUAACGAGGUUGAAUUUAAUCUAAUUAAAACUUUCAACAACGGAUCUCUUGGUUCUCGCAUCGAUGAAGAACGCAGCGAAAUGCGAUACGUAAUGUGAAUUGCAGAUAUUCGUGAAUCAUUGAAUCUUUGAACGCACCUUGCGCCCUUUGGUAUUCCAGAGGGCAUGCCUGUUUGAGCGUCAUUUCUCUCUCCAAAAUUCGUUUUGGGUGUUGGGCAGUACUCUCGUUAAGAGAGUUUGUCUGAAAAGGAUUGGCAAGAGCUGUGCUUACUGCAUACCGGUACUGCUUAUUCAAUGUAUUAGGUUUUAACUAACUCGUUGAUUGGUAGACGCUGGGGUUGGUUUGCGCAAUUUAGGCUCGGCCUUUAGAACAUGACUAUAAGUUUGACCUCAAAUCAGGUAGGAGUACCCGCUGAACUUAAGCAUAUC